UACAGAGGUCUCGAGCGUUAGGCGGAAUCACUGGGCUUAAAGCGUGUGUAGGCGGUUCGUUAAGUACCUUGUGAAAUCCCAUGGCUCAACCAUGGAACUGCUUGGUAUACUGGCGAUCUUGUGCAACCUAGGGGCGAGCGGAACAGAUGGUGGAGCGGUGAAAUGCGUAGAUAUCAUCUGGAACGCCAAUGGUGAAAACAGCUCGCUGGGGGUUUGCAGACGCUGAGACACGAAAGCCAGGGGAGCGAACGGG
rnacentral:rRNA from 1 species